ensembl:lncRNA
UCGAGCUUUAUGACAUGGUGCAUUAUCCUGCUGGAAAUAGCCAUCAGAGGAUGGGUACAUGGUGGUCAUAAAGGGAUGGACAUGGUCAGAAACAAUGCUCAGGUAGGCCGUGGCAUUUAAACCCAAUUGUCACUAAGGGGCCUAAAGUGUGCCAAGAAAACAUCCCCCACACCAUUACACCACCACCACCAGCCUGCACAGUGGUAACAAGGCAUGAUGGAUCCAUGUUCUCAUUCUGUUUACGCCAUAUUCUGACUCUACCAUCUGAAUGUCUCAACAGAAAUCGAGACUCAUCAGACCAGGCAACAUUCUUCCAGUCUUCAACUGUCCAAUUUUGUGCUUUGCGCCACAAAGACUUUGCUCCAAGGAUAGGUUUCCCACACUGACGUCGUCGGCCACACACUCUCUGUCGGCCAUGACUCGUAACUAGAGACGAUGAGUGACAGGUCGGUCCCCCGCACAGCACAGGGGGCCUGAGAUCCCCACACUAUUUUCAGAAGCAUUUUGAGGACUGGCCUUUCUCCCAUCACAGCUGUUCUGGGCGUUAUGCUCAAAGACUAGCGGCCAAAGUAUGCCAAUGCAGGUGAAGCAAUCUGAGUAAUGAAAGAAGAAAAUUAGAUAAAUGAACUGUCUGGAAAUUGUGUCAUCCACUGCAUGCACAGUCAGCUGCCUAAUGCUAUAUUUUGGUUUGAAAGAUUUGCUAGCAAUUUUCAGUUGUUGACAGAUUUGUGGAGAGACGGCAUCUAUCCAGAUGAAUAAAUAAAACAUGUUUGCUGCUGAUGUUAUUAACAGUCACCAGCAGUUUUGAGCUGAUAGUCCUGCACAUCCUAAAAAAACAACUAAUUGCAUAAUUGGCAUUAUUCUGUAAUAUGAGUGAACUAAAUAUGGCAAGGAAUUAGAGCUGAUGUGUUUGUUUUUUCAGUCAACAAACUUUGCUUGAAGCGAACUAAAUUAGAAAAGUAGAAGUUUGUUUUCUGUUUUCCUUGGGAAAGCAACAAUGAAUUCAGUAUGUUGGUUUAACAGUGACAAAAUGUUGAUAAGACUCACAAUCCUACGCAGCUGGUUGCCUUUACAGUUCAGUUAACCAUCUCAGCUUGAAGUUAGCUGAACUGGAUCAAGCUUGAGGAGAAUUACAAAUAUGUUGGCUCAAAACCACACCUAUCUCCCAUGUCUUCUAGCAUGCUUUAUUGCAGGUUAACUUGCCAAACU